rnacentral:rRNA from 1 species
UAAUACGGAGGGUGCAAGCGUUAAUCGGAAUUACUGGGCGUAAAGCGCACGCAGGCGGUUUGUUAAGUCAGAUGUGAAAUCCCCGGGCUCAACCUGGGAACUGCAUUUGAAACUGGCAAGCUAGAGUCUCGUAGAGGGGGGUAGAAUUCCAGGUGUAGCGGUGAAAUGCGUAGGGAUCUGGAGGAAUACCGGUGGCGAAGGCGGCCCCCUCGGACGAAGACUGACGCUCAGGUGCGAAAGCGUGGGGAGCAAACAGGAUUAGAUACCCUGGUAGUCCACGCUGUAAACGAUGUCGAUUUGGAGGUUGUGCCCUUGAGGCGUGGCUUCCGGAGCUAACGCGUUAAAUCGACCGCCUGGGGAGUACGGCCGCAAGGUUA